GAGUCACAGAGUGCCUCCCUUCUCUCCUCUUACAAAGGAUUUGAAAAAGAAGACUUACCAACAGCAGAGUUUCCUGAGCAGCAGAAGCCAGGGCAAGUCGAAAGUCGUUGGUGGAAAGGAUGGAGACGGGGUCCUGGACCCGUGAACUGCAUUGCAACAUUGAGAAAAGGGAAAAGUUCAAGGAUCCUUCUCACAAUGUCCAGCCCAGGAAGUGGUCUCAGCUCCCUCAGGGAUCCAAGAGGCGUCAGUUUUCAACCCAUGAUUGGGGGUUGGGGGGAACAACCACGAACAGAAAUCGUAAUCCAACCGGCUCCAUUUUGCAUCAUAAUACCUGGAUCUUUAGCUCCAUUCCCUCCAUUCCUUAGGAGUUCUCGUAUAUGAUGGGAUUCUCCUCCAGUUAGGUCAUCAAACAAAUAUGUUGCUUCCUCUACCCAAAGGGAGUCCUGUUAUAUCCAAAAAGGAGAUAAUCCAAUGAUUGGCAUGUAGAACAACAUAUCAAUA